rnacentral:rRNA from 1 species
UACGUAGGGGGCAAGCGUUGUCCGGAAUCAUUGGGCGUAAAGCGCGUGUAGGCGGCUGGGUAAGUCCGCUCUGAAAGCCCGGGGCUCAACCCCGGGAGGCGGGUGGAUACUGCUCAGCUCGAGUCCGGAAGAGGAGUGUGGAAUUCCUGGUGUAGCGGUGAAAUGCGCAGAUAUCAGGAGGAACACCGGUGGCGAAGGCGGUGGUCUGG